rnacentral:rRNA from 1 species
UUGGUUAAGUUAGAAAGGGCGCACGGUGGAUGCCUUGGCACUAGGAGCCGAAGAAGGACGGGACUAACACCGAUAUGCUUUGGGGAGCUGUACGUAAGCGUUGAUCCAGAGAUUUCCGAAUGGGGGAACCCACUAUCUUUAGUCGGAUAGUAUCCUUACGUGAAUACAUAGCGUGAGGAAGGCAGACCCAGGGAACUGAAACAUCUAAGUACCUGGAGGAAGAGAAAGAAAAAUCGAUUUCCUGAGUAGCGGCGAGCGAAACGGAAAGAGCCCAAACCAAGAAGCUUGCUUCUUGGGGUUGUAGGACACUCUAUACGGAGUUACAAAAGAAAGUUAUAAAUGAAGCGGUCUGGAAAGGCCCGCCAAAGACGGUAACAGCCCGGUAGUUGAAAUGGCUUUCCCUCCAGAGUGGAUCCUGAGUACGGCGGAACACGUGAAAUUCCGUCGGAAUCCGGGAGGACCAUCUCCCAAGGCUAAAUACUCCCUAGUGACCGAUAGUGAACCAGUACCGUGAGGGAAAGGUGAAAAGCACCCCGGAAGGGGAGUGAAACAGUUCCUGAAACCGUGUGCCUACAAGUAGUUAGAGCCCGUUAAUGGGUGAUAGCGUGCCUUUUGUAGAAUGAACCGGCGAGUUACGAUUUGUUGCAAGGUUAAGCGGAAAAAGCGGAGCCGUAGCGAAAGCGAGUCUGAAUAGGGCGCAUAAGUAACAGGUCGUAGACCCGAAACCAGGUGAUCUACCCAUGUCCAGGAUGAAGGUAAGGUAAUACUUACUGGAGGUCCGAACCCACGCACGUUGAAAAGUGCGGGGAUGAGGUGUGGGUAGCGGAGAAAUUCCAAUCGAACUUGGAGAUAGCUGGUUCUCUCCGAAAUAGCUUUAGGGCUAGCCUCGAGGUAAAGAGUCAUGGAGGUAGAGCACUGUUUGGACUAGGGGCCCUUCUCGGGUUACCGAAUUCAGAUAAACUCCGAAUGCCAUGUACUUAUACUCGGGAGUCAGACUGCGAGUGAUAAGAUCCGUAGUCGAAAGGGAAACAGCCCAGACCACCAGUUAAGGUCCCCAAAUAUAUGUUAAGUGGAAAAGGAUGUGGGGUUGCUUAGACAACCAGGAUGUUGGCUUAGAAGCAGCCACCAUUGAAAGAGUGCGUAAUAGCUCACUGGUCGAGUGACCCCGCGCCGAAAAUGUACCGGGGCUAAACAUAUUACCGAAACUGUGGAUGAACCUCUUUAGAGGUUCGUGGUAGGAGAGCGUUCUAAGGGCGGUGAAGUCAGACCGGAAGGACUGGUGGAGCGCUUAGAAGUGAGAAUGCCGGUAUGAGUAGCGAAAGAAGGGUGAGAAUCCCUUCCACCGAAUAUCUAAGGUUUCCUGAGGAAGGCUCGUCCGCUCAGGGUUAGUCGGGACCUAAGCCGAGGCCGAUAGGCGUAGGCGAUGGACAACAGGUAGAGAUUCCUGUACCAGUGCUAAUUGUUUAACCGAUGGGGUGACACAGAAGGAUAGGGAAUCGCACGAAUGGAAAUGUGCGUCCAAGCAGUGAGUGUGAGAAGUAGGCAAAUCCGCUUCUCGCGAAGCAUGAGCUGUGAUGGGGAAGGAAAUUAAGUACGGAAGUUCCUGAUUUCACGCUGUCAAGAAAAGCCUCUAGGAAGAGUAGUACUGCCCGUACCGCAAACCGACACAGGUAGAUGAGGAGAGAAUCCUAAGGUGAGCGAGAGAACUCUCGUUAAGGAACUCGGCAAAAUGACCCCGUAACUUCGGGAGAAGGGGUGCUCUAUUAGGGUGCAAGCCCGAGAGAGCCGCAGUGAAUAGGCCCAGGCGACUGUUUAGCAAAAACACAGGUCUCUGCAAAACCGUAAGGUGACGUAUAGGGGCUGACGCCUGCCCGGUGCUGGAAGGUUAAGAGGAGUGCUUAGCUUCGGCGAAGGUACGAAUUGAAGCCCCAGUAAACGGCGGCCGUAACUAUAACGGUCCUAAGGUAGCGAAAUUCCUUGUCGGGUAAGUUCCGACCCGCACGAAAGGCGCAACGAUCUGGGCACUGUCUCAACGAGAGACUCGGUGAAAUUAUAGUACCUGUGAAGAUGCAGGUUACCCGCGACAGGACGGAAAGACCCCGUGGAGCUUUACUGCAACCUGAUAUGGAAUGUUUGUACCGCUUGUACAGGAUAGGUAGGAGCCGAAGAGACGUGUGCGCUAGCAUACGAG